rnacentral:rRNA from 1 species
GACAGAGGUGCCGAGCGUUAGGCGGAAUCACUGGGCUUAAAGCGUGUGUAGGCGGAUGCCUAAGUACCUUGUGAAAUCCCACGGCUCAACCGUGGAACUGCUUGGUAUACUGGGUGUCUUGAGCCACUUAGGGGCAACCGGAACAAACGGUGGAGCGGUGAAAUGCGCAGAUAUCAGGAGGAACACCCGUGGCGAAAGCGGCUCUCUGGGACGGUACUGACGCUGAGACGCGAAAGCGUGGGGGAGCAAACAGG